rnacentral:rRNA from 1 species
UGCCAGCCGCCGCGGUAAUACGGAGGGUGCAAGCGUUGUUCGGAAUUAUUGGGCGUAAAGAGCAUGUAGGCGGACUGUUAAGUCUGGCGUGAAAGCCCGGGGCUCAACCCCGGAAGUGCGUUGGAUACUGGCAGUCUUGAGUAUGGGAGAGGAAAGUGGAAUUCCGAGUGUAGAGGUGAAAUUCGUAGAUAUUCGGAGGAACAUCAGUGGCGAAGGCGACCUCCUGGACUGAUAUUGACGCUGAGGUGCGAAAGCGUGGGGAGCAAACAGGAUUAGAUA